rnacentral:rRNA from 1 species
AAAAUAACAAUGAUUCCCCCAGUAACGGCGAGUGAACAGGGAAAAGCUCAAAGUUGGAAGCUCCUGGCCCUAGGCUAGGCGCAUUGUAAACUAAAGCUGUAAAGUAGUUCGGUUGGCCUGGUAAAAAAGUUCCCUGGAAUGGGGCGACAUGGAGGGUGAAAUCCCCGUCUUUGGCCAGAGUUCAGCCGUGCGUUUGCUUUGCUGCGAAGAGUCAGGUUGUUUGGGAAUGCAGCCUAAAAUGGGAGGUAGACUUCUCCUAAAGCUAAAUAUUGACGAAAGACCGAUAGCGAACAAGUACCGUGAGGGAAAGAUGAAAAGCACUUUGAAAAGAGGGUCAAAAAGUACGUGAAAUUGCUGAAAGGGAACCGUAUGAAAUCAGCCUGAUGUGUGGGUAAUCAGCCUGGGCUUUGGCCUGGGUGCACUUGCCCAUGUAUUAGCCUGCGACAGUUUGACCUGGGGGAAAAAAGAUGGGGGAAUGUGGCCUCGGCUUCGGUCGUGGUGUUAUAGCCCCUGUCAAAAUACCUUGGGUUGGACUGAGGACUGCAGCGAGCCGUAAGGCAUGGGUCUCGGGCGCUCUGUCUCGGCGAAAAGUGAAUCUCUGCUUCGGGUGGUGCGCUUUUCUUCAGGGCAGACACGUCUGUUUCUUCUUUCUCUCGCUUAGGUCGUAGGCAUAAUGAUUUUAUAUGAC